GACUGGGGUGAAGUCGUAACAAGGUAACCGUAGGGGAACCUGCGGUUGGAUCACCUCCUUACCUUAAAGAA
rnacentral:rRNA from 1 species